GGGCGCGUAGCUCAAUUGGUUAGAGCACCGAGCUUAUACCUCGGCGGUUCUAGGUUCGAGUCCUAGCGCGCCCACUA
rnacentral:tRNA from 1 species